CUCCUCUUCUUUUCUUCUCCUUCUCCUCUUCUUUUCUUCUACUCCUCUACUUCUCCUCUUUUUCUUCUACUUCUCCUCUUAUUCUAUUUUUCCUCUUCUUCCCCUCUCCUCCUCUUCUUAUUCUCCUCCUCCUUCUUCUCCUCCUUCUCUUCUUCCUCUAAUAAUUCUAAAAUAGAAUUAACCUCAAACCUAAUUCUAAAUAUUACUAACCCUAAUAAUUCUAACAAAAAAAUAGAAUUAAUCUAUUUAAAAAAAAA
rnacentral:lncRNA from 1 species